ACGACCUUACUUGAACAGGAUCUGUUCUAUAGGCUCAUACAUCUGUAUCCUUGAUUACGAAGGAGACAGGACCUCAAGUCUGGUGGAUGAAAUAAGGUCGUGUGAUCAAAGCGUGAUUAAUGGUUUCAUGGUCUUCGGGGUUAUGAAUGCAGUAGAGGAUCGUUCGUGGCCAGCAAAUGUCUGGUUGUGAUGGUCACACGGUUGUCUGAUAGACC